rnacentral:pre_miRNA from 1 species
GAGCUGCUUCUUAUAAUGUGUCUCUUGUGUUAAGGUGCAUCUAGUGCAGUUAGUGAAGCAGCUUAGAAUCUACUGCCCUAAAUGCCCCUUCUGGCACAGGCUGCCUAAUAUACAGCAUUUUAAAA